rnacentral:piRNA from 1 species
UACUCAGGGAUCACUGAUUGUUAUGGUCUGA